UACGUAGGGUGCAAGCGUUAAUCGGAAUUACUGGGCGUAAAGCGUGCGCAGGCGGUUUUGUAAGUUUGUCGUGAAAUCCCCGGGCUCAACCUGGGAAUUGCGAUGAAGACUGCAAGGCUAGAAUCUGGCAGAGGGGGGUAGAAUUCCACGUGUGAGCAGUGAAAUGCGUAGAGAUGUGGAGGAACACCGAUGGCGAAGGCAGCCCCCUGGGAUAACACUGACGCUCAUGCACGAAAGCGUGGGGAG
rnacentral:rRNA from 1 species